UUGAAAUCGAUCUGAAAAAAAGAAUUGGUGCA
rnacentral:piRNA from 2 species